rnacentral:lncRNA from 1 species
AGCUUUUGUCUGUGAUCCAUGUGGAAACCAUUCUUCUGUGUAUAGUGUAAGGGAAACCACCUUUGCUUUGACAUAUGUGUGUAAACGGUAUUGUCUGUCGAACGUUGCCUCGUGAGUCAUAAAAAGAAACAUCCCAGCCUCUUUGUUAAGAGAAGUGCUGUCAAGCUAUUUACAUUCUUACGAACAGACACAAGUCUACACAAAAUGACAAGCGCACAUUUCGGUGGGCACAACAGAGAAGUGACACUUCGGAAAAGUAAUUCAGUAACAUGGAAGACAAAUUUGAGAAGCCAUCCCAGAAAGCAGAGGAAAAAGACAAAGCCAAAAUCUGAAAGAGAAAUAAAGUUAUUAACUUGGGGAGGGGAUGGUGAAGAAAAGGCAGAAUAAGAACUAUGCGAGACAGAAAACAAAGAUUCACUUCACCGUUGUCACUUCCGUUCCUUCAUA